AAGCAGAAUAAAAGGUAGAAUAA
rnacentral:snRNA from 1 species